GACGAACGCUGGCGGCGUGCCUAACACAUGCAAGUCGAGCGGAGAUAGACUGAUGGUAACUGAAGUUUGUCUUAGCGGCGGACGGGUGAGUAACACGUGGGCAACCUGCCUUGGAGUGGGGGAUAACACCGGGAAAUCGGUGCUAAUACCGCAUAACAUACACAAACUGCAUGGUAAGUGUAUCAAAGGAGCAAUCCGCUUUAAGAUGGGCCCGGGCUGAUUAGCUAGUUGGUAAGGUAACGGCUUACCAAGGCGACGAUCAGUAGCCGACCUGAGAGGGUGACCGGCCACACUGGAACUGAGACACGGUCCAGACUCCUACGGGAGGCAGCAGUGGGGAAUAUUGCGCAAUGGGGAAACCCUGACGCAGCAACGCCGCGUGGAGGAAGAAGGUCUUCGGAUUGUAAACUCCUGUCUUCUGGGACGAAGUAUGACGGUACCAGAGGAGGAAGCCACGGCUAACUACGUGCCAGCAGCCGCGGUAAGGUCACGUCG
rnacentral:rRNA from 1 species